ensembl:miRNA Gm23164 predicted gene, 23164
UAUCAAUCCUAUGCUGCUAUGUAUUAUAUAUUGUGUGUGUGUGUGUGUGUGUGUGUUAUAUAUAUAAGCACACACACACACACACAAUAUAUAUGCGCACACA